UUUGAAACCACAGCCGUAUACCUACAUCUAAAACAUUAAAGAUAUGCUAUAACAGUGUGCAAGUUGAACAUACACUUUAGAGGAGUUAUUUUUUUUAUUAUAGUUCAUAUCUUCUAGCAAGAAAAGUUCGGAUCUUGAAUAUAAAAGAGAAUUUAUACAUUUGCAUAUAUAGAAAUUGAAUCAUUAAGGGACGAACUGAAACCGAGGGACAAAUUUCUCUGUCUGAUGUGUAACUAAACUUGAUACACCAACCUCUUCCGAAAAUACACAUGCGUAAAGAGUAUCAGAUGUUAUAUACACGUACGCGGCACUUGAAGAGUAGUAGUAGCGAUCAAUCAGUCUAAAAACAUGGACACUUCUCCUAUUGUGGGGCGGUGAUGCGGGACAGAGUUCAAAAGAUGGAGUUGUACCAAAUCGCAGACAAGUGCUGCCACCUAUACCAGGGUACAUUCCUGUGUACAUUCAGCAUGGUGAUAUGCCACCAGAAGACCCGAAUGAAGCUGCUGGUGUUUUUCAGGUGGCCAGCAAAAACGCGCCUCCAAGAAUGUCAUAUACCAUUUAUAGCCCCAUGGCAACUACAAAAGUGUUACAACAGUCAGAAUCAGCUCUAGGAGUCAGUGACAGUACCACCGACAGUUCUGUCAACAAUGAAUCUCAAGCAUCAACCGGCGGCAUAGGUGAAAUAGUAUCUAAUGGAGUUCCAGAAGAAAGUGAUAGCUAUGAGUCUAAUGGAUCUAAACUGUAAAAAAUAGACACGGAAGGUCAAUAUAAAAGUGUACAGCAAAGUAGGUACAUAAGGUAAUGGUGGACUCUUAUUUGAUGGUUCAAUUGAUGACAGUUUAUCAUGUCCAUGGGUAAAAAGAUGUUUAUAUUGUAAUGGUUGUUAAACGUAUUAGAAAGAUGGUAUAAUUUUAAAAUAUAUUAAUAUAUUACAUUUGUUAAUUUCAAAAUGGAAAUCAUUAAA